UACGAAGGGGGCUAGCGUUGCUCGGAAUCACUGGGCGUAAAGGGUGCGUAGGCGGGUCUUUAAGUUCAGGGGUGAAAUCCUGGAGCUCAACUCCAGAACUGCCUUUGAUACUGAAGAUCUUGAGUUCGGGAGAGGUGAGUGGAACUGCGAGUGUAGAGGUGAAAUUCGUAGAUAUUCGCAAGAACACCAGUGGCGAAGGCGGCUCACUGGCCCGAUACUGACGCUGAGGCACGAAAGCGUGGGGAGCAAACAGGG
rnacentral:rRNA from 1 species